rnacentral:rRNA from 1 species
UACGGAAGGCAGCAGGGGGAAUAUUGCACAAUGGGCGCAAGCCUGAUGCAGCCAUGCCGCGUGUAUGAAGAAGGCCUUCGGGUUGUAAAGUACUUUCAGUCGUGAGGAAGGUGUUAAGGUUAAUAACCUUAGCAAUUGACGUUAGCGACAGAAGAAGCACCGGCUAACUCCGUGCCAGCAGCCGCGGUAAUACGGAGGGUGCGAGCGUUAAUCGGAAUUACUGGGCGUAAAGGGCACGCAGGCGGUUAAUUAAGUUGGAUGUGAAAUCCCCGGGCUUAACCUGGGAAUGGCAUUCAAGCUGGUUAGCUAGAGUCUUGUAGAGGGGGUAGAAUUCCAUGUGUAGCGGUGAAAUGCGUAGAGAUGUGGAGGAAUACCGGUGGCGAAGGCGGCCCCUGGGACAAAGACUGACGCUCAUGUGCGAAAGCGUGGGGAGCGAAACAGGGAUUAGAUACC